GUCUGCAACUCGACUCCAUGAAGUCGGAAUCGCUAGUAAUUCCAGAUCAGCAUGCUGGGGUGAAUGCGUUCCCGGGCCUUGUACACACCGCCCGUCACACCACGAAAGUUGGUUUUACCCGAAGCCGAUGAGCUAACAGCAAUGAGGCAAUCGUCUACGGUAGGCCCGAUGAUUGGGGUGAAGUCGUAACAAGGUAUC
rnacentral:rRNA from 1 species